rnacentral:rRNA from 1 species
UAUACCGUGAAACUGCGAAUGGCUCAUUAAAUCAGUUAUCGUUUAUUUGAUAAUACCUUACUACUUGGAUAACCGUGGUAAUUCUAGAGCUAAUACAUGCUGAAAAUCCCGACUUCGGAAGGGAUGUGUUUAUUAGAUAAAAAACCAAUGCCCUUCGGGGCUUUUUGGUGAUUCAUGAUAACUUUACGGAUCGCAUAGCCUUGCGCUGGCGACGGUUCAUUCAAAUUUCUGCCCUAUCAACUUUCGAUGGUAAGGUAUUGGCUUACCAUGGUUUCAACGGGUAACGGGGAAUUAGGGUUCGAUUCCGGAGAGGGAGCCUGAGAAACGGCUACCACAUCCAAGGAAGGCAGCAGGCGCGCAAAUUACCCAAUCCCGACACGGGGAGGUAGUGACAAUAAAUACUGAUACAGGGCUCUUUUGGGUCUUGUAAUUGGAAUGAGUACAAUUUAAACCUCUUAACGAGGAACAAUUGGAGGGCAAGUCUGGUGCCAGCAGCCGCGGUAAUUCCAGCUCCAAUAGCGUAUAUUAAAGUUGUUGCAGUUAAAAAGCUCGUAGUUGAAACUUGGGCCUGGCUGGCGGGUCCGCCUCACCGCGUGCACUCGUCCGGCCGGGCCUUCCUUCUGAAGAACCUCAUGCCCUUCACUGGGCGUGCUGGGGGAAUCAGGACUUUUACUUUGAAAAAAUUAGAGUGUUCAAAGCAGGCCUUUGCUCGAAUACGUUAGCAUGGAAUAAUAAAAUAGGGCGUGCGUUUCUAUUUUGUUGGUUUCUAGAGACGCCGCAAUGAUUAACAGGAACAGUCGGGGGCAUCAGUAUUCAGUUGUCAGAGGUGAAAUUCUUGGAUUUACUGAAGACUAACUACUGCGAAAGCAUUUGCCAAGGAUGUUUUCAUUAAUCAGUGAACGAAAGUUAGGGGAUCGAAGACGAUCAGAUACCGUCGUAGUCUUAACCGUAAACUAUGCCGACUAGGGAUCGGGCGAUGUUCUUUUUCUGACUCGCUCGGCACCUUACGAGAAAUCAAAGU